rnacentral:tRNA from 1 species
GCAGGUAUAGCUCAGUGGUAGAGUGCAUGCUUAGCAUGCACGAGGUCCUGGGUUCAAUUCCCAGUACCUCCA